rnacentral:ncRNA from 10 species
UAACUCUCACGAGGUUGGGAAAGUCAGUGAAUACAUAAUCUGACACUGCCCCCGCAACGGUGAACAACAGUCCGAAUGCCAACGAGGUGAGACCAACAUUAGCGGUGGUGCUAUGAAAAUUAUCUUAAUCAUAUAAAA